rnacentral:lncRNA from 1 species
AGACAUCGGUCCGACUGUGGGUAAUCACCAAAGAUAAAUGGGUACACGGUGGUUUUAAAAUAAACUAUUUUAAGAAAAAUCUAAUAACUCACUGCAUCUCGGUAAAUCUGAAGCUUUGCUGCUAUCUCCUCUGGUAAAGUUCUCAAACUCUGCUUUUUAUAUUACUAGAGCUUCAGAAAUUAAGCAUCACGUAGAUCAAAGUACUAAACCGUACAAAUCAUGCUUAAAGGAAACAGUUCAUAAAACUUAUCCAAAUAAACUCAUUUAUAAAAGCUUAUUUAUAUAAAAUCAAUAUAAAAUUAUUUAAGUAAACUUGUUUAUAUAAAUCAUUUAUAUAAAAUCAUUCAUGAAAGAAAGUCCACUCACUGAUGGUCCGAGCUAACUGGACCCUUUGAAGGUCCCUCCUGCGGGUCGCUUGGACCUCUGGUGCCUGAUUAACCAUGAAUAGUAAAUCAAUAAACUACUGAAUAAAAAGAAUUUAAAUUAAACACCCUGCCCCCGGCUCCUAGAAGUACGUGCACUCGUUUCAAGUUACUCCUAUGUCUACAUUAGCUUUUUAGGCUCUUAGAUCAGUUUUGGAAGACCCGAUGCUUAACUAAGCGAUAAACCACCAGACCAGCCGAUCCGGGACCCCGUGGGUCCACGGUCUCCGAUGGCCAAUCUGGGCUUCUCUAAAGGUUCCUCAUAAAGAAGGAACCAUGUUCCGCGAAUUCGGUCUGAAACGGACGGUCGGAUUGGCCAGAAUCGCGUUAUCGCUUAAAAUCGAAACCCUAGCCCCAGGGUUCGCGAUUUCGGAGUAUCCGGGACUCCGAUUCACAAUCCGUCGAAUCCUACACGAUCCUGAAAUCAUGUAGACCGACAUAUCCAAAAUUCAGUGCGAUCCGACGAUUAGACGACAUUGCACCCAAGGAUCGUGCGAUAUGGAAAAUCCGUUCGGGGCUCAAACGGACUCCGAAUCGAGAUCCGCGAAAUCCUACGCGCUCGUGACUACACGAGGAUCUCAAAACUGCCCAGAGUUACUCCACCACCCUUGCCCACGCGCCGCCACACGCGCGGGCAGAUUGGGUGUCCAAAGCGAUUAUGGGUUGCCGGAAAAAAACUCGGAACCAAGACUCCAAACUCCUAUCCUAGGUAAAACACCCCAUUUGGAGUCACUUUUGUUCUUGGACAUACCCCAAAAAGUGGCCGAAAAUGGCCGAUCACGGCGGCCGAAGUUCGACCAAUUUUCAAGUUGAAAAUCGAGUGAUCUAGAGGUGAAAUCGAUCAAAACCCAGCCAACCAUCAGUUAGAGCACGAAAAAUAGCUGAGAAUCCAUACCUUACUCGAACGAUUUGGUUGAGAAACGAAGGAGAACGAAGGAGAUGAAGUUCGGGUGAAAACCGCCGAUUCUUGUCCAGUUUCCGGCGAGCUCCGGCCGGUGCAGGUGCGGCGACGGGUCGGGGCGUGACGGCGGCGACAAGACGAAGCUGGUGGUACCAACAUCGGAGAUCGGCGUGCCCUGUGGUGGCGACGGGAGGCGCUGGAAGGGAGGAGGGCGCACGGCUUGCGCGCGACGGGAGGAGAGAGAAA